GAUAUGAAGAUAACCAGUUCAUCCCAAGAAUAACGUCAAAAUCAUACAUAUUUAGCUGAAUCAAAUCUGCUGCUAAUUCUUUUUCUUCUAUUUGAAUUAUGUAAUUCUUGAAAAUAAUGUUAGCAACAACAAUAUUUUUAAAAGGUGUGCUAACAUAUAAUGGUUCAUUUAGUUUUCCAGGCACACAAUUCAAAGAAGUAGCAAACUUGAGAGAUAUAAAAGAGUGUGAAGAGCCAGAAUCGAAUAACACACGAGCAUA
rnacentral:lncRNA from 1 species